GAUGAACGCUGGCGGCGUGCCUAAUACAUGCAAGUCGAGCGAACAGACGAGGAGCUUGCUCCUCUGACGUUAGCGGCGGACGGGUGAGUAACACGUGGAUAACCUACCUAUAAGACUGGGAUAACUUCGGGAAACCGGAGCUAAUACCGGAUAAUAUAUUGAACCGCAUGGUUCAAUAGUGAAAGACGGUUUUGCUGUCACUUAUAGAUGGAUCCGCGCCGCAUUAGCUAGUUGGUAAGGUAACGGCUUACCAAGGCAACGAUGCGUAGCCGACCUGAGAGGGUGAUCGGCCACACUGGAACUUAGAAACGGUCCAGACUCCUACGGGAGGCAGCAGUAGGGAAUCUUCCGCAAUGGGCGAAAGCCUGACGGAGCAACGCCGCGGGAGUGAUGAAGGUCUUCGGAUCGUAAAACUCUGUUAUUAGGGAAGAACAAAUGUGUAAGUAACUAUGCACGUCUUGACGGUACCUAAUCAGAAAGCCACGGCUAACUACGUG
rnacentral:rRNA from 1 species